rnacentral:rRNA from 1 species
GACGUAGGGCGCGAGCGUUGUCCGGAUUUAUUGGGCGUAAAGAGCUCGUAGGCGGCUUGUCGCGUCGUUCGUGAAAACCUGCAGCUCAACUGCAGGCUUGCGGUCGAUACGGGCAGGCUAGAGUUCGGUAGGGGAGACUGGAAUUCCUGGUGUAGCAGUGAAAUGCGUAGAUAUCGGGAGGAAUACCGAUGGCGAAGGCAGGUCUCUGGGCUGACACUGACGCUCAUGCACGAAAGCGUGGGGAGCAAACAGG